rnacentral:rRNA from 1 species
AUUGAACGCUGGCGGCAGGCCUAACACAUGCAAGUCGAGCGCGAAAGGGACUUCGGUUCUUAGUAGAGUGGCGUACGGGUGAGUAACGCGUGGGUAAUCUACCUUUGGGUGGGGAAUAACUAGUCGAAAGGCUAGCUAAUACCGCAUAACGCAAUUUUCUAUUAGAGAAUUGUUAAAGCAGUAAUGUGCCUAAAGAUGAGCCUGCGUCUGAUUAGUUUGUUGGUAGGGUAAUGGCCUACCAAGACUACUAUCAGUAGCUGGUCUGAGAGGACGGCCAGCCACAAUGGCACUGAAACACGGGCCAUACUCCUACGGGAGGCAGCAGUGGGGAAUUUUGCGCAAUGAGCGAAAGCUUGACGCAGCAACGCCGCGUGAAGGAUGAAAUCCUUCGGGAUGUAAACUUCGCAAGUAUGGGAAGAAAAAAAUGACGGUACCAUAUGUAAGCCCCGGCCUAACUCCGUGCCAGCAGCCGCGGUAAGGUCGUCAUGU